CCCUUAGAUGUUCUGGGCCGCACACGCGCUACACUGAAGGAGGCAGCGUGUACUCCUGGAUCGAAAGAUUUGGGUAACCCGCGAAUCUCCUUCGUGCUAGGGAUUGAGGUUUGCAAUUAUCCUUCAUGAACGAGGAAUUCCCAGUAAGUGCAAGUCAUAAGCUUGCGCUGACUACGUCCCUGCCCUUUGUACACACCGCCCGUCGCUCCUACCGAUUGAAUGGUCCGGUGAAGCGUUCGGACCGUGGCCUUUGGACGGUUCGCCGUCUGUUGGCUGCGGGAAGUUCGUUAAACCUUNUNAUUUAGNGGAAGGAGAANUCGUANCA
rnacentral:rRNA from 1 species